rnacentral:rRNA from 1 species
CCUACGGGUGGCUGCAGUGGGGAAUAUUGGACAAUGGGCGAAAGCCUGACCCAGCCAUGCCGCGUGUGUGAAGAAGGCCUUCGGGUUGUAAAGCACUUUCAGUGGGGAAGAAAGCCUUGGGGCUAAUACCCUCGAGGAAGGACAUCACCCACAGAAGAAGCACCGGCUAACUCCGUGCCAGCAGCCGCGGUAAUACGGAGGGUGCGAGCGUUAAUCGGAAUUACUGGGCGUAAAGCGCGCGUAGGCGGUCUGAUAAGCCGGUUGUGAAAGCCCCGGGCUCAACCUGGGAACGGCAUCCGGAACUGUCAGGCUAGAGUGCAGGAGAGGAAGGUAGAAUUCCCGGUGUAGCGGUGAAAUGCGUAGAGAUCGGGAGGAAUACCAGUGGCGAAGGCGGCCUUCUGGACUGACACUGACGCUGAGGUGCGAAAGCGUGGGUAGCAAACAGGAUUAGAUACCCCAGUAGUC